GGUGGAGCGAUUUGUCUGGUUUAUUCCGAUAACGAGCGAGACUCUAGCCUGCUAAAUAGUGAGUGGAUUUUUAUGUCCAGUCUACUUCUUAGAGGGAUAAGCGGUGUUUAGCCGCACGAGAUUGAGCGAUAACAGGUCUGUGAUGCCCUUAGAUGUCCGGGGCUGCACGCGCGCUACAAUGGAAGAAUCAGCUGGCCUAUCCAUUGCCGAAAGGUAUUGGUAAACCGUUGAAACUCUUCCGUGACCGGGAUAGGGAAUUGUAACUAUUUCCCUUGAACGAGGAAUUCCUAGUAAGUGUGAGUCAUCAGCUCACGCUGAUUACGUCCCCGCCAUUUGUACACACCGCCCGUCGCUGUCCGGGACUGAGCUGUCUCGAGAGGACUGCGGACUGCUGUAUUGAGGCCUUCGGGUCGCCAUAUGGCGGGAAACAGUUCAAUCGCAAUGGCUUGAACCGGGUAAAAGUCGUAACAAGGUAUCUGUAGGUGAACCUGCAGAUGGAUCAUCGCUGAUAACCCACCACAAACAAUAAAGGUUUAUCUGAAAUUUUUGUGGAUUGGUUGCUUUGAUCAACGAGAAUCCAACAUGCGUUGUAUGAUGACGACUUUGUCGUCAUUGUUGGUAGUAUCGUAACACCAUUAGAGCUCACAAUACAAGGUGUCUAUGUAUAAACAUGAGUCGUUCUAGAGUGACGGUUGUGAUUGUUUAUACGUGCGUUGGCACACAAACACAAAAUUUUUCUUUUUUGUGUAAAAAUCAGUGUGAAGACUUAAUGAGCAUUGCAUGAAUGCCACCUUGAAUUAUUUUAUAGAACUGUUUAGCUAGCUUACUUGAUAAACAGCUAGGUAGUAGUUAUGUUGGUGAUUAUACGUGAUGCAUACGUUAUAACGACACGAUUACGUCGUGUGUUAUGUGGCACCCGUUUGUCGGGAAAUCUUAAUGAUCCAUGUUGGACGCCAAUAUAACAAAUUCUUUUUUUAAUUUCUAAUUGCGUAUCAAUGGAGACUACAUACAUGUAUAUGUAUGUGUGUCGAAAUCUAUAAACUAGCUUCAGCGAUGGAUCGGUCGAUUCGCGUAUCGAUGAAAAACGCAGCUAGCUGUGUUGUUUACCACGAAUUGCAGACGCUUAGAGUGGUGAAGUUUUGAACGCAUAGCGUCGUUGGGUUUUCCCUUCGGCACAUCUGGUUCAGGGUUGUUAAAAACUAUGAAUACAAUCCCAUAUUUGUGAUGAAGAACAACUAUUGGUGUGAUCUUCUGCAUGUAUAAUAUGUGGUUGUUUGUCGAACGGCACUCGAAGUCGGCUUCACGAAAGUCGUCGAUGCGAUUCCCGUUUUAGUUUAAGGAUGAAAUGAUUGCAAAAUAUAAAGCACAUUAUAUGUGUUUUACACUGAAUGUGAUGUAUAAUCGUGUGUAGUCGUGUGUACGUAUGCUAGAUAGUGUAGAUCAUCAUUACAACUAUCGUCGAGAUGAUUUUCAAACGUUAUGGUUGAAGAUCGUCGUAUAUGCAUGAUAUUCGGCGAUUGAUGGAAUAAUUGAUGAUCAGCAAUAUGUAUAGACACUAUACAAAAGUACAUAAUGACACCACGUAAAUUCGCAUUCACAUUCUUUACAGAUGCAACCUGAACUCAGACGUGAUUACCCGCUGAACUUAAGCAUAUCAUUUAGCGGAGGAAAAGAAACUAACUAGGAUUCCCAUAGUAACGGCGAGUGAACUGGGAAAAGCCCAGCGCUGAAUCUUUCGAUGUUACAUCGUAAAGAAAUGUAGCGUAUAGGUGUAGUUAUCGGUUUGUUUGGCGUAUCCAAAGUUCCUUUGAUAGGGGCCAUAUUCCAGAGAGGGUGCGAGACCUGUGCGGAUAGCGGAACAUGCCGUAUGAUUAUACCUUGGAGUCGGGUUGCUUGAAAGUGCAGCCUUAAGUGGGUGAUAAACUUCAUCUAAGGCUAAAUACGGACGCGAAUUCGAUAGCAAACAAGUACUGUGAAGGAAAGUUGCAAAGAACUUUGAAGAGAGAGUUCAAGAGAACGUGAAAUCGUUGAAGUGGAACCGGAGAGGGUUGACGUAGUAUGGUGGAUAAGUAUUGCAAGAAUCGCUUCAAAAAAUGUGAACGUGAUCGAGCAGUAUGUAUGUCACCAAUGACUGCGCUGACAGCAUCGACUACACGCUCUGAACCGUGUUGACAUGUUGCCUACUCUAGUAUAUAGAGUGGUGUCUUGUGUUACGUGGUGAAGUUUGUUGUUAUGUUGAUGUUGAUACGAGGAGCAUAAUUAUACGACGAGUAUUAAUUAUGUGUGUCAGUGUAAAAGUCGACCACCUCUCCGACCCGUCUUGAAACACGGACCGAGGAGUGUAACUUGUACGCGAGUCAAUGGGUGAAAAACCUUAAGGCGAAAUGAAAGUGAAGGCACGGUUAACCGGCUGACAUGGGAAACGUCCGGCGGCUUGUGUUGACGAGACGUUACACCAUGGCCCUGUCUUGUCUGCAUGCAGAUGGGCAGCGGUAGAGCGUACAGGUUGCGACCCGAAAGAUGGUGAACUAUGCCUGAGCAGGACGAAGCCAGAGGAAACUCUGGUGGAAGUCCGUAUCGGUUCUGACGUGCAAAUCGAUCGAUAGACUUGGGUAUAGGGGCGAAAGACUAAUCGAACCAUC
rnacentral:rRNA from 1 species